GUGUAAGGUUCUAGUUUAAAUCAGUGAACAAAAAGAGUAUUUUUCAUGUCUAGUAAUAGCAUAUAUCUAUCAUGUUACAAUGUCUGCAGUGGUGAGAUCUUCUAUUAAUGUCCACUCCCUAAUCACAUCACCUGAAAUGGUAAGGAUACUUUUCUAGAAGAAUAGGGGCAUUUGGGUGUGAAAAAAAAAAUAUAUGUUGUAAUCACUUAGUAUCAUCAGGCUUUGCACCAUGCCUCAAUACGAAGUGGCUUAAUAUGGUGAGUAGUGAUUGGAUAUCAGUGGUAAGAAAGGUUAGUGGUAAUUCAAAGCCCAAUUCUGAUCAGUUUACUCUACUGUUCACAAUUUCCCCCCAUUUCAUAGGUCAAACUUGAGCCACUCCCACUCAAAAGGGAAAACAGGGGGCUAUUCCUAAUGAUAAGACCAUUGGUGCAAAGCGGGUUUGAAUGGAGGAUAUUAUACAUGGUAAACUUUAGGUACAGAACCAAAUAGGUGGGUAGAUUGACACUAAAAAGGGUAAUUAAAAUUUUCUUUGGUGUUCAAAAAUUGUGUUUCAUUUACUAAUGGUCACACAGGCCAAAAUUGUGGGGAGAUUUUGGAGAAAAACACUAGUGAUAUUAGUAUAUGUUUCUCUCUUCCAAUAACCAGCUAGCACAUGUUUCUCUAGGUGAUUUUUCUUACCUCUCUCCCUUACUUCCUGAAGUUUUCAUAAAUUUUUUAGAGACUGUUUGUUGUCCAUUUCUCCCAUCAUGAAUGUAAAAUUGGCUUUCUCCCAUCCUGAAACACUAGUGAUAUUUGGCUUUCUCCAUUCCAUUUUUCUGUUCUCAUCCAACCUAUUCUCAAGAGAUUUUCCCAACAUUUUUCAAUCAUAGAAUAUAAAAUUAUAUGAAAUAAGUUUAUAUUGUAAUGUGGAUGCUAGUGUGUAUGCUGCACUUUGGCCUUGAAAAGGAGGGAAAAAAGAAGAAGAAGUUUGGCAGAUAUUAUAAGCUUGAGAUCCCUUCUGGACAUAUAGACAACAGAUCUUUCACUUGGACAUAUAUACAAAGGACUCCUAGUUUCUGUUAUUCUCAAGUCAUAGAUUGAUUUUGACUACAAUUGAUUCUGGUAGCAAGGCUCUUGAAUUUCUGAGGCUUGAAAAUGACCCAAACACAAUGAUUGUUUCUCCAAACAGUCAUUAGGUAUGGUUUACAUGAGUGAAGAUUUUUUGGAGGUGCAACUUGAUGGAUAUUGGCCCGCAAAAUUUGGCAUGGAUUCAACCAGAAAUGAACUGGCUUUGGUAUCAAUGGAGCAUCCAAGAUCCUCUGCAUCAAUUACAGGAGUCCCAACCCUGUUAAAUGGUUAUUCAACAGUUCAUACCUCCAAUUUUUUUUGUUGUGACACAGUGGCUUAUUAAUCACCCCAAGUUUCAGAAAAAUCCACUUUACAUCAGUGGUGACUCAUAUUCAGGCAUAAUCAUCCCCAUGGUGGUUCAAGAAAUAUAUAUCCAAUGGUAAUGAUGCAGGGAAA